GAGAAAUUGCACCUGAACUGAACUUAAACCGCGACAAAUCAUGCCGUGAAAAGGCCACACAAACGCUAGCGAUUUCCAACCUUAUCACACACAACACGUAUUCACAUAUUCUAAGCAACAUCAACCAGCAGUAAGCAUUACAAAACCAAACCAUCUGAAACAACAGACGCCACAUUGGUAGAGAAGAUCAUAGACACUCACAUAUAUACACACACAUUUUGAGAUCCAGAGCGAAGGAUCUCAGCUGUCCUGCAGCUGAGCAGAGCGGCUGGUCAGAGGGACGUAUCGGACAGUGGCAUCGUUCCGGACGCUGGUGGAUCCGUCGGAGCUCUUGUCGAUCACCUGCAAGUCCUGAGAGUAUGUGCCGACCGGUAUGACCAUGCGCCCGCCAGGCUUCAGCUGCUCCAGCAGCGGCCGAGGGAUCUCAGGUGCCGCUGCACCCACAUGAAUAGCAUCGUAUGGCGCCGCAUCCGGCCAGCCAAGCCUUCCAUCUGUGUUUUUGAGAAUUGCAACAAGACAACUUGAGCUCCAGAUGUUUUGGACUUCCAUCAAAAGAUGGCUAGGACCAAUCAAGACUAACGUUUUGAGGCUAUAAAACGACCAGUGCAAAUUAAAUUUCAUCGAUGUAUUGAAUGGCUCAGCACACCAUAGCACACCAACUAGCAUACCUG
rnacentral:lncRNA from 1 species